rnacentral:lncRNA from 1 species
GAGGACUUGCGACUCAGAACAAUGAGUUGAAAAUAAGGCUGCAAGCAAUGGAGCAACAGGCACAGCUGAGAGAUGGUAUGCUUCUUAUGGUCCCCUUCAGCAUUGUUCUUCAUUUCUUUUGGUUAAAAUUAAACUGGGUUAUGUCUUCUCGGGAAACUAGCAAACAGCAAUACAAAAAUAGUGCUCUUCAAGUAUUAUGCCAGCAUGUGUCUGUGCCAACUUUCGACUGUCUGGGCUGGUUUGGUAAUCAUGUAGUAUCACCAAUACAGAUCAGUCUUUUUAUUGUUGGGUCGGGAUAGUUUCUGUUUAUGUGCACUCGACACUGUAGGGUUAAUCAAGGCCAAGCAAAUAAGUUUACAUUAAAAUGCAAUAGUCGAGUGGUUCUUGGAUGUUAUUGCAUGUUUCAUGUGUCUAGAUAUAUUGGUUCUUAAUUUACCAUGCAUCUUGGUUGUGUUUGUAAUAAAAAAUUUCAUGGUUUGGUGCUGAAAGAUGACUUGCCAAUAUUUAUCCAAGCCAAAGCUAAACCAAUUGGUUGGGUGCCAACUUCUCUAAAAACUUGCCUACAUUUGGCAAGUUUUGGAGUUGCAAAAUGUAGGUAUGCCAAAAUAUUGGCUAGCAAUUUUUGGCUCCCAACAAAAGCAUGGCCUAUUACCUUUGUUUCGUGAUUUAUGAUUUACAAAAGAUUGUGUGCUGGUUCUCUAUGAUAGUCAGUUAUAUUAAGUCGCCAAAUGUAAGCAUGCUAAAAUAUUGGCUAGCAAUUUUUGGCUACCAACCAAAGCACACUCUAUUACCUUGUUUCGUGAUUAUUAUACAAAAGAUCGCGUGCUUGUUCUCUGUGUUAGUCAGUGAUAUUAAACUAUCAUUAUAAAUAUUGCUGAUUCUUUUUAUGCUGGUGUACAAAUUUUCCUGGCGUUGAUUACUUGCUGAGUAGAUUAAAGUCCUUUUGUCUCAGGAAAGUUGAUUUGCAAAUUGGUUGAAAAUUGAUGACACAGUAUAUUCAUUUUAUAUUAUUACUUUAUUAGUUGCUAGGGGUUCGGUCACCAGGUGGCUGGGUUGUACCAUCAUGGUACAUACUUUUACUGGGAUUUUUUUGAACAAUAUGUAUUUGGAAAAUCUUGCAUAUCUUAACACUGUUUUAUCACUAAUCAAUAUAUGUUUUAAAAUACUUUGAAAACCUUGAAUACCUCAAACUAUUUUAUCAUGAUUUCCUCAUGUGCGUCUAGUUUGACUAGGUUCGUUACUCUUGCUUACAUGAGGAUAUAUUAACUAAUGUCCAGUUCCUUUAGAUGCUUAUGUGACCUACUGUUUGUUUUGGUUCCUUUGGGCACAUUUUAUGGUUGAUAAGUACUAUAUGCGUAUACUGUAGAAACUGUCUUCUUACUCACUUCUGUUGAAAAGGCUUGUAUAUUUUUCCUUAAUGACAUUUGAAAAGAUUCAAAUAUUCCAUAUAUCUAGUCUUAAAUUGUGUUUAAUAGCCUAUUCAGAUCUAAAUGUCAGAUUGCUAUUUCAAUUAGUGUAAAAAUCGUUUCUGAAAGUUCACGCUGGUGAUGUAUACUUGUUUUGAACAUUUUUAAUGCGGUGUAAGAUUGAAGAUCUAUAAUAGCAUUUUCUCUAUGCGUCUUCUGUGCAUUUUUGGUUAUUUGUGAGUCCACAGUUGGUUUCAGGCUUUCAGUAAAUGUUCUAGCUACUUAGCUAGCGGUCAGCAAUUUAUGCUAGUGAUUUUGUUGCCAUGGGUCCUCUCUGUGGAUUGAUAUAUAGUCCAUAUGUAGCUAAUAUACGGUUCUAAGAGCAUCUCCAGUCGGACUUGCCUAAUCUGACCCCAUUUAUGUUCGCCGACCGCCCCAUAUUUGUCCGCCCGGGCAACCAGUCCACACCCCUCAUAUACAAAACCUCAAAUCCAUACAAAGCCAUGCAUAUAGAUCAUAUAUCACACAACCAAUUCAACACAAGCCAAAAUAAUUCACAACAAAUCAAAUUCAACAAUUCAUACAUAGGCAUACACGAAUGAAUCAAUCGCCCCCAUUGUUGCACUCAUGGAUCUCCUUUUUGUUGAUGAUCCACUUCUUGCAAUUGUCAUACAUGAGGAUAGUGUCGGCCGACAUGAUCCUUGACUCCUAGUGAUCUUCGUGAGUCUCACCUUCUCAAGCUCAAGCUCCAUUUCUUUUUGCCAUUUCUCUUGCUUCUCCAUGUCUAUCCUCUCCCUACAUGAUCAUCCUAUCCAACUCCAUGCCCUCCCGAUGCACAUACAAGAAGAGCUUGUACCUCUCCCGCUUCUCCUCCCUUUUCUCUUGCUUCUCCAUGUCUAUCCUCUCCUUCUCCAUAAUCAUCCUAUCCCGUACCCUCUCCCUUUGCACAUACAAGAAGAGCUUGUACCUCUCGUGUUUCUCCUUCAUUUUCUUCAAUGUCUCCUCCCUUGUUGCAAAAAAUGUCCGUCCAUGUGGCGGACAUUUUGCUUGCCGCGUCGUCACGUGCGCCCCUAUCCUUCUCCCACUUCCUCCCCCUCAGUGUCUAUUCCUCUUUGGGUUGGUCCCAUGUCAGUCCACCCCUCCAUUUGGCUCAUCGUCAUCAUCCAGUCCAAUAGAUUGGUGAGUUGUCGGGGUUCUUGAUAUCUUCAAAAGAGGUUUGACCACUUUGGUUUCCCAGUCAAUUGCACCCAACAAUCCAAAAUAAUCCAAGAAAGGAAGCAAGACAAGGAAGAUGAUGAACAAUGUGAAGCAAACAAAACUUACAUGGCUAUCGACUCCAAUACCACUUUGGUGCCUAUUCACCACUUUUGCAUAGAAACUGCAAAACUUGUUCAAACAAAGGCGAAUUUUGAUUACCCAUUUCAUAGUUUGGAGGAGCUUCACCAUCAUUUAUCAUGUCCAUCAUGAACGAGUCCUAAAGAUGCAUCACAGUGAAACUACCAUCCUAUAAUGGAUCCGAUAAAUGCACAUGGGGCAAAAAAGACCUAAGCAUUUUAUUGAGGAAUAUCUUCGAACGGUUGCUAGGCAUGUCCGUCGCUGAGGAUCCCCGACGUUGUCCGUGACUGUUGGAGUUGUGGUGACUUGUAUGACAUGUCCAAGAGGCGUCCGCUUCCUGCGUGAAGCCAUUCGAGAUGCCGGACCAUUGUGAAGCUCCAUGUCAACGACGUCCUUCUCCGCCUUCUUGCGGGCGUGCUGCUGGAGUUGCUGCUCCUUGCAGAUGAUGGUCUCCACUUUGCUCCCAGCGGUAGGGACCCCCAUGGACUUUGCCGAGCCAUCCUCCAUGGUGCGGGCGGACGGCGGAGUGGGCCAGGACGGCUAGGACGAAGGAGGAGGUGGGCGCCACAGAUGCGGAAGAGGGCAACGACUCGGAUGCGGGAAAGAGAAGACAGACACAUUAGAGAGGGUGGUCAAUUUGGAGGAAUUUGGAGUGGGUUCGGCUUGCCGGAUCCGACGUGGUGGACGCAUCCGGGUGCUCCCAAAUCCGUCCCACAUAUGAGCUGGGUUUGAGGGGUGCCGGACAGCCCGAACAUAUGGGCUGGGUUUGGGGGGUCCGUUUGGGUGGCCUAUUUGUGUCCGCAUGGUGUUUGGGCUGUCUGCCCGGGCAUAUGGGUGCGAAGUAGGGGGUCCGGUUGAAGAUGCUCUAAGGUCGGCUAGCAUAUGUCUCUGGUUGGCAUGAUAAAUUGCUGGUGUUUCACUAGAAGUUGAUUUCAUUGCAAGAUGGCAUCAUAUGCCAAUUGCUAGCCCUACCCGGAUAAACUUUCUAGGCAAACGCAAGUGUGUAUGAUAAUGAUAUUUUCAUUAUCUUCAUGCUUGUUUCCAUAGUUGUCACAGUAUUAGUUAUGUGUUGUGUUAUAUAAUCCAUGUUUAGUUGUUCAGGUUGUUGUUUGCAGUGUCUAUAAACCAAUCAUGUGUCAUUGUGUUUAUUUGGGUGACAGGGUUAUAUAUGUUCAUCUUGCUUUGUGACUUUCAGUGCUAAACUAUGGAAAUCAACUGUGCAUGUGCCAUUUUCUUUCUUUCUUUUCAGAUAAUAUAAGAUUUUAUUUCCUUGUUGAUGCACAUUGUUUUUUUUGCCACCUAUUGCAGUGAUUGAAUGAAGGCUAUCAUGUAACUUAAUUAGUUGUUUUGUAAUGUUCUGUCCAUUGAUUUAUGUUUCUCUAUGGGAUUCAUAUGUAUCCAGCUCUGAAUGAAGCACUAACGGGUGAGGUCCAGCGGCUGAAAGUUGCAACCGGUGAGAUUACGGAUGCUCGUAUGUCGAAGGCGGGCCUACAGCAGCAGAUGAACUCCCAGCUGAUUCAAAUGCAGCAGCUGCAAAUACAGCAGCAGCAACAGCAGCAGUCAUCACAGACGCAGCAGGCUCAGCAGCAGCAGCAGCAGCAGCAGUCGCAGCAAUCAGCAUAGACCAAGUCACAAAGAACCUGGAUCUCUAUAGCAGAGGAGGAGAAAUUCGAAUCUAGCCGAGCAUGAUGAGUUGAAGAUGGUGAUCGUAUGUGCGAGCGGAGAGAAAAUAAUAUCUUUUGAUUAUAUCAGACAGGUUGUAGGAUGGAUAGCAGUGGUUGGGCAACGGAUGCUGCCCGAGUUCUUUUGUUUAAGGUGGUAUAAUACUCAGCGUGGAGCAUGGUCGUCGUCGUACCGUAUUGUCUGUCGUAUAUUCGUGCUGUACAUGAGUACCUUCCUUGUGAGUCACUGUGGUAGUCUUCUCAUUAAAGAUUCUUUCCGACGAGUUGUUUCUGCGAGUCUAUGAGGUUAUUAUAUUACAAAAUCUACAACAGUACCUGUGCCGUGAACGUGUAAUGGAGUAUAUGGCGUACUUCGUCAGCGUUCGGGCUAUGCUUGUGUUCACGUUUUG